rnacentral:lncRNA from 1 species
UGAUCUCCACAAGUGUUUACUAAUUUUUAUUCCUACAGAUUCAAUGGAUGCUGUCUGGGUGCAUAAGGCAUCAGUCUCCGUAGUUUCUCAAACGUGGCAAACAACCUUCGCAUCCCUUCUCAUCUUUGCCCUUCCCUCUCCACCCCCUUGGUUGCCCAGCUGGUGCAUGUGUGACUGUUAAGCAGCCAGUUCAGCUUCGUCUUCUCUGACUGACACUAAGUUGCCCUCUAAUUCUGCGUGCUCUCCUGCAGAGCCUGCUGUAGAUCCUGGCACAGGACUAGUUACCUCUCUGUGAUAGGUUAAUGACCUGCUAAUGUCGGCUAGUUUUUGCCUGUGCUUUUUUGUGUCAUAAUGAGGAUGGAUUGGAGAGAGUAAGACAUUGCUACUGCUGAGAGAAGCACAGUACCCACUGUUACAAGGACAGUCGCUAAAAUGGAUGCUAGUCCAAGCCCUGACUGCUUCAGGCUCUUCCGUAAAGGUUCCGGCUUCCAGUCUGGGAUGCUUUAAACCACAGUGAUGCCUGAGUCUCUGCCCCAGAGAUUCAAUUUAAUUGUCUGGGGUGGGUCCCAGGCAUCAGUAGCUAUUAAAAGCUCCCCAGUUGAUUCUAAUGAGCACCCAGGGUUGAGAUCAGUGCUGUGGAGCUUAGCCCUUUCUAAAG